GGAUUUGGACAAUUUAAGAAAGCCAAUACAGGAUCAGGAUCCAAAAAACCAAAUAAAGUUAUUCCUUAAUGCCCUAAAUACAACAAGGCGCAUAGAGGAGAGUGCCUAUUUGGGAAAAAUGUGUGUUAUCGAUGUGGCCAAGAAGGACAUUUUGCCCCAGAUUGCAAAGCAUACCCACCUAAAAAAGAUCUUGAGCAAAGGAUGAAAGUGAGAGCCAAAGUUUUUGCUUUAACUCAG
rnacentral:lncRNA from 1 species